rnacentral:rRNA from 1 species
CCUUAGGGGGGGGGAGCAGUAGGGAAUCUUCGGCAAUGGGGGCAACCCUGACCGAGCAACGCCGCGUGAGUGAAGAAGGUUUUCGGAUCGUAAAGCUCUGUUGUAAGUCAAGAACGGGUGUGAGAGUGGAAAGUUCACACUGUGACGGUAGCUUACCAGAAAGGGACGGCUAACUACGUGCCAGCAGCCGCGGUAAUACGUAGGUCCCGAGCGUUGUCCGGAUUUAUUGGGCGUAAAGCGAGCGCAGGCGGUUUGAUAAGUCUGAAGUUAAAGGCUGUGGCUCAACCAUAGUUCGCUUUGGAAACUGUCAAACUUGAGUGCAGAAGGGGAGAGUGGAAUUCCAUGUGUAGCGGUGAAAUGCGUAGAUAUAUGGAGGAACACCGGUGGCGAAAGCGGCUCUCUGGUCUGUAACUGACGCUGAGGCUCGAAAGCGUGGGGAGCGAACAGGAUUAGAUACCCUGGUAGUCCACGCCGUAAACGAUGAGUGCUAGGUGUUGGAUCCUUUCCGGGAUUCAGUGCCGAAGCUAACGCAUUAAGCACUCCGGCCGGGGGGG